rnacentral:lncRNA from 1 species
GGUGGUGGUGGUGGUGGUGGUGGUGGUGGUGGUGGUGGUGGUGGUGGUGGUGGUGGUGGCAGCGGCGGCGGCGGCACAUCCAUCCUAUCUGAGCCCCUGAGGGAAGGGCAGUUGCCACAACCCAUCCAUUCUGUGUGCAACACACACCACAGUCAGGGGUGUAUGUGGUGUGUAAUGCUUCAGAGAGUGGCGUGCUGUGUUGCAUUUUACACUGUAUAUACUGUUUCAGGCUGUGUAGUGGGCCAGGUACUAAAGGUAAUUUUUAUAGCUGUUCCGCUAAGAGAAUAUGAAGCACAGUAAAGCAGGAAAUAGCAGGAGAGAUAUAUGAUUUGUGGAAGGAAAGGGGAAAAAGAAAUGCAAUAUUUCCAUACACUAAGGAUGUUACCUGAAAGAAAUAUAAGAUGCAAAGAAAAACAUAUUCAUGUUUCAUAAACUUUGAGAAAGCUUUUGAUAGAGUUAAGCAUGAAGACUUAUUAGGAGAAGAAGGUAAUGAUUGAAGAAUGGUAAACAAAUUUUACUGGAACCAGAAGGCAGCUGUAAGAGUAGGAGCAGAUCAAGAGAGACUGGAUGGAUCUAAAAAGAGAAGUAUGACAUGAGUAUUUUACCUCAAAUAAGUUUUCUUAAUACAGUGAGAUAAUAAUGAGAUCAACUGAAGGAAAGUAAGAUUUUGCUACUGAGGGAAGAAAUACAAAUAUAAGGUACUCAGAUGAUAUGGUUCUAAUAGCAGAAUCACAAGAGAAAGUGCAGGAUAUUCUAACGAUAAGGCGAGUGAAGCAAAAGGUCUAACAAUUAACAUAGAUAAGACAAGUGAUGGUGAUUAGUAAGAAGACACAGGUUCCAAGGUGCAAUGUACGAGUGAAGGACAACAUUAUAAAACAGGCGAGAUUUCACUACCUGGGAAGCAACACAACAGAAGAUGGAAGAUGUAUAGAGCAAAUUAAAUCAAAAGAAAAAUAUGUGAAGCAAAAGAUACAUUUCAGAAGAUGAGAAACAUAAUACCAACAGUCAUCUAUCAACAAACUGAAGAGGAAGAGCAGUAAGACACAAGCAUGGUCAGUGUUGAUGUAUGGAUCAGAAGACUGGACAUUGAAUAAACAAAUGGAGAAGAGGAUGGAAGCAUUUGAAGUGUGGUGUUGAUGAAAGCUUUUGAAAAUAUCUUGGACAAAGAAUAUCACACGAAGAAGUGCAGAGAAGAACAAGUAGUGGAGAACUAAUAGCCAAGAUACAAGCAAGUCAGAUGAGAUUUGAGGGACAAGUAAUGAGAAGAGGAAAGACAGAGAACUUAAGCUUACACGAAGAAUCCCAGGUAGCAACACACGAGGUAGACAAAAGAAGAGAGGCACACAGAUGGAAUAGGAAGGACAAUAUGAGGUGGAAAAAGAGCUACGUGUAUACUGCAAAUGACAAGAUAGAGGAUAGAGGGGUGCGGCAAUCCAUAGGUAAGGUGGCGUGGCAUUUUAGUGAGUUUAGUAUGGCAUGUUUCAAGGUAUGCUGUAUUUUAAGGAGAGUAGCACUGCAAGUAGUAGUGUUGUAGUGAAGGGUAUUUUGAGCAAAGUAGCAAGGCAAGUGUUUCAUGAUGGUGUUGUAGUGAAGGGUAAGGCGUGUUUGGUAUUGAGCAGUGUGGUGUUCCAAGUGGCUAGGGUGUGGCAGGACUUUCCCUCCGUCAAGACAUCAGUCACUGCAGGUUUGUGGCAUCCAUUUCACUGAGCUUCCUUUGCCCCACCUGGGUACACACUGCUGCCUCUUUGUGUGUGUGUGUGUGUGUGUGUGUGUGUGUGUGUGUGUGUGUGUGUGUGUGUGUGUGUGUGUGUGUGUGUGUGUGUGUGUGUGUGUGUGUGUGUGUGUGUGUGUGUGUGUGUGUGUGUGUGUGUGUGUGUGUGUGUGUGUGUGUGUGUGUGUGUGUGUGUGUGUGUG